rnacentral:rRNA from 1 species
GACGAACGCUGGCGGCGUGCCUAACACAUGCAAGUCGAGCGGGGUAUGUGAGGUAGCUUACUACCGAGCGUACCUAGCGGCGGACGGGUGAGUAACGCGUGAGCAACCAACCUUGUACAGGGGGAUAACAGGUGGAAACACCUGCUAAUACCGCAUAAGACCACGGCACUGCAUGGUGAUGUGGUAAAAGGAGCGGAAGCUCCGGUACAAGACGGGCUCGCGUCCCAUUAGCUAGUUGGUGGGGUAACGGCCUACCAAGGCGACGAUGGGUAGCCGGCCUGAGAGGGUGGACGGCCACACUGGGACUGAGACACGGCCCAGACUCCUACGGGAGGCAGCAGUGGGGAAUAUUGCGCAAUGGGGGGAACCCUGACGCAGCGACGCCGCGUGAGCGAAGAAGGCCUUCGGGUCGUAAAGCUCUGUCUUUGGGGACGAAGGAGAUGACGGUACCCAAGGAGGAAGCCCCGGCUAACUACGUGCCAGCAGGCGCGGUAAUGAGUAGUACA